rnacentral:rRNA from 1 species
UACGUAGGGGGCAAGCGUUGUCCGGAAUCAUUGGGCGUAAAGAGCGUGUAGGCGGCUCGGUAAGUCCGCUGUGAAAGUCCAGGGCUCAACCCUGGAAUGCCGGUGGAAACUGUCGAGCUAGAGUCCGGAAGAGGCGAGUGGAAUUCCUGGUGUAGCGGUGAAAUGCGCAGAUAUCAGGAGGAACACCAAUGGCGAAGGCAGCUCGCUGGGACGGUACUGACGCUGAGACGCGAAGGCGUGGGGAGCAAACAGG